rnacentral:rRNA from 1 species
GAUGAACGCUGGCGGCGUGCCUAAUACAUGCAAGUCGAGCGAACGGACGAGAAGCUUGCUUCUCUGAUGUUAGCGGCGGACGGGUGAGUAACACGUGGAUAACCUACCUAUAAGACUGGGAUAACUUCGGGAAACCGGAGCUAAUACCGGAUAAUAUUUUGAACCGCAUGGUUCAAAAGUGAAAGACGGUCUUGCUGUCACUUAUAGAUGGAUCCGCGCUGCAUUAGCUAGUUGGUAAGGUAACGGCUUACCAAGGCAACGAUGCAUAGCCGACCUGAGAGGGUGAUCGGCCACACUGGAACUGAGACACGGUCCAGACUCCUACGGGAGGCAGCAGUAGGGAAUCUUCCGCAAUGGGCGAAAGCCUGACGGAGCAACGCCGCGUGAGUGAUGAAGGUCUUCGGAUCGUAAAACUCUGUUAUUAGGGAAGAACAAAUGUGUAAGUAACUAUGCACGUCUUGACGGUACCUAAUCAGAAAGCCACGGCUAACUACGUG